GAGGUCAGACAGGGGAGCCCGACGGGCUGAGAGUGCGGACACGCAGACCCUCCGAACCUGAUCCGGUUAGCACCGGCGAAGGGAGUCACCGAUGCGCGCGC
rnacentral:ncRNA from 2 species